rnacentral:snoRNA from 1 species
ACGACCUUACUUGAACAGGAUCUGUUCUAUAGGUUGUACAACUGUAUCCUUGAGUGUAAAGGAGACAGGCAACAAAGUCUGGUGGAUGAAACAUGACCUCAGAGCCAGAGCGUGAUUGAUGGCUGAGAUUCAUCCGACUCUCCUGCUGUAGAGGAUCGUUUCUGACCUGCGUGAGCCGGUUGGUUUGGCUCUGAGGUUGUCUGACAGAUU